GUGAGGAAUAUUGGUCAAUGGGUGGGAGCCUGAACCAGCCAAGUCGCGUGAAGGAAGAAGGAUCUAUGGUUCGUAAACUUCUUUUGCAGGGGAAUAAAGUGCAGGACGUGUCCUGUUUUGUAUGUACCCUGAGAAUAAGGAUCGGCUAACUCCGUGCCAGCAGCCGCGGUAAUACGGAGGAUCCGAGCGUUAUCCGGAUUUAUUGGGUUUAAAGGGUGCGUAGGUGGUUUGAUAAGUCAGCGGUGAAAGUUUGCAGCUUAACUGUAAAAAUGCCGUUGAAACUGUCGGACUUGAGUGUAAAUGAGGUAGGCGGAAUGCGUGGUGUAGCGGUGAAAUGCAUAGAUAUCACGCAGAACUCCGAUUGCGAAGGCAGCUUACUAAGCUACAACUGACACUGAAGCACGAAAGCGUGGGGAUCAAACAGGAUUAGAUACCCCUGUAGUCC
rnacentral:rRNA from 1 species